GCUCCAUGAUGCGCUCUCGGGUA
rnacentral:siRNA from 1 species